UACAGAGGGGGCAAGCGUUAUUCGGAAUUAUUGGGCGUAAAGGGCGCGUAGGCGGCUUCGCAAGUGACGGGUGAAAUCCCUCGGCUUAACCGAGGAACUGCCUGUCAGACUGCAUGGCUUGAGACCAGGAGAGGUGAGUGGAAUUCCCAGUGUAGCGGUGAAAUGCGUAGAUAUCUGGAGGAAUACCGGUGGCGAAGGCGGCAUCCUGGACCGACAUUGACGCUGAGGAGCGAAAGCUAGGGGAGCAAACGGG
rnacentral:rRNA from 1 species